rnacentral:rRNA from 1 species
CCUACGGAGGCAGCAGUAAGGAAUAUUGGUCAAUGGAGGCAACUCUGAACCAGCCAUGCCGCGUGCAGGAAGACUGCCCUAUGGGUUGUAAACUGCUUUUAUCCGGGAAUAAACCUGCUUACGUGUAAGUAGCUGAAUGUACCGGAAGAAUAAGGAUCGGCUAACUCCGUGCCAGCAGCCGCGGUAAUACGGAGGAUCCAAGCGUUAUCCGGAUUUAUUGGGUUUAAAGGGUGCGUAGGCGGCCUGUUAAGUCAGGGGUGAAAGACGGUAGCUCAACUAUCGCAGUGCCCUUGAUACUGAUGGGCUUGAAUGGACUAGAGGUAGGCGGAAUGAGACAAGUAGCGGUGAAAUGCAUAGAUAUGUCUCAGAACACCGAUUGCGAAGGCAGCUUACUAUGGUCUUAUUGACGCUGAGGCACGAAAGCGUGGGGAUCAAACAGGAUUAGAUACCCUGGUAGUCCACGCCCUAAACGAUGAACACUCGCUGUUGGCGAUACACAGUCAGCGGCGUACGACGAACGACGUUAAGUUAGUUCCGUACCGUCGGGGAGGUACGGCCCGGCCGACGGGUAGGAACGUACGAAGUAGUAAGUUAGUACGGCGUGAGACGUUGCCGACGGACGACCGACCGAGGGGAGGGUAGGG